rnacentral:rRNA from 1 species
UACAGAGGGUGCAAGCGUUGUUCGGAAUUAUUGGGCGUAAAGGGUGCGUAGGCGGUGCGGUAAGUCUGUAGUGAAAUCUCUGGGCUCAACUCAGAGUCUGCUAUAGAAACUGCCGUGCUUGAGUGUGGGAGAGGUGAGUGGAAUUCCCGGUGUAGCGGUGAAAUGCGUAGAUAUCGUAAGGAAGACCAGUGGCGAAGGCGGGUCUCUGGACAGUUCCUGACACUGAGACACGAAGGCCAGGGGAGCAAACGGG